CGGGAUGCGGCGGCCGCUCAGAGCUGGUGGCGGCGGCCUACCUGGAGGAGUCAUGGUGGCCGUGUGCGUGAGGGUGCGGCCGCUGAAUUGCAGAGAAGAACUUGGAGAAGAUGCCCUGGUUUACUGGAAAACCGACAAUAAUGUUAUUUAUCAAGUUGGUGGGAGUAAAUCCUUCAAUUUUGGAACUAUAUUUGCCUACAGGCAGACCACUUCUAGAAAAACCCAUACUAUGAUGCACUCAGAAGAUUGUUCGGGAGUUAUACCCAGAGCAAUUCAUGACAUCUUCCAAAAAAUUAAGAAGUAAGCAUACGCUGGUGUUUAUACGAAUGGCCCUUUCUGUGUAGAUUCUGGAGAGCAGGGAAAAAGUGAACCUUCUAACUGUGACGGCUCUAUCAAGCUAUCCCAUUUGAAUCUGGUGGAUCUGGCAGGCAGCGAGAGAGCUGCUCAAACAGGAGCUGAAGGUGCUGUGUAUCAUCUCAUGCAGUGACGGUCGGUUUUCACAUUGGUCUACUCUAAUCAGGUGUGCAAUUCAAGGAGUCUGUAAUAUAAAUCAAAGCUUAUUUGGGGACAAGUGAUCAAGAAACUAAGUGAUAAACUGGUGGUUUCAUCAAUUAUCGAGAUAGCAAAUUAACUCCAAUUCUCCAGAAUUCCUUGGGAGGAAAUGCAAAAACUCGUAUCAUCUGCAGCAUUACACUGACGUCUUUUGGGGAAACUCUGACCACUCUUCAGUUUGGUAGCACUGCUAAAUAUCUGAAAAACACUCCUUAUGUUAAUGAGGUGUCAAGUGAUGAAGCGCUCCUGAAAAGAUACAGAAAGGAAAUAGUGGACCUGAGAAAGCAGCUCGAGGAGACUAAAAGAAAAUGAAGAGUCACUUGGUGCUUUGGCAACAUUAACAAAAUUAAAAAUUCCCACUAUGAGAGGGAGUCAGUAUGCUAGCAAACGUGACAACCUGACAACGGAAACACCCUGGAAUGCUGUCACACUGUUAGGGGAGGUUGACGAGAGUGAGUGCCUUUCUGCAGGACCUGAUAAACGCUUCCCUGUAGAGACAGACUGCAUAACUCAGUAUGAUCCACGUGUUGAAGUAAAAUGGGUUUUAGAGUUACAAUGGAAAUUGUGAUUUAAAGAUAAGUAAUUUUUAAAAGGUCAACUGUCAUGAAUUGUUCUCUGAAUGCCAAAUCUCAACAAUGAUACACUAGUGGAAAUAGAUGUGAAAGAUAUUUUUGUUUGUUGUUCUGAUUAUUAUUCAUUUAAAUUAGUCUAGCACUGAUGUAACAUCUGUCUGAAACUUCCAGUCUUUAAAAGAUAGGAUUUAUGUUAAAAACUGUUUGAAAAUUAUACCUCAAGCAUUAUACUCUUAUUUUAGAGGCAUUUUAAAACCUACUUAGAGUGAUCAAAUUUCAUACUCAGAAUUUGAUCUUUUUACCUCUGUGAUGAGGAGCCCAUAUUUCAUCACUAAUCCCAACCAGCUGUCUUAGUUCACACACUACUAUAUGUGAUCAGCUCUGUUGACGUGAGUCCUUGACAUUCCCAAACUGAGGGCACACGUACUAAUGUGAUUAGUACUAUUAUGUGAUAGUACUAUUAUGCAGUACUCUGUCACUUUUUAAAAUAAUGUUUAAUUUGACUUUUAGGAAAUGUUACACAUGUUAACAUACACAUUUGUUCCCUAAUUGUAGCUUUCUGUUUGGAGUCUGAUACCUUCAGCAAUACUCCUGAUACACUAACGGAGAUAGAGUGGAAUUCAGUGACAUAGCUACUAAAUGAGGUAUUUUACGGAAUAUGAUCUUGUGUUGUUUUUUGUGGUGGCAGCCUGUCUGCAGCUCUGACUCAUAUCAGAGGCAUUUUGGGCUCUAGGAAGAUUUCCCUCGCGUUUUUUGACUUGCAGUUGAAAAGUAGGAGACAUGUAGAGGGAGGCUAAAAUGUUUAUUAGGUAGGCAUGUGCUAACCGGAAAAUGUUUGCUUCUAGUUCUUUACCAGCAAACCUUAGCAUCUGUCUGGUUUGUUCUGGGCAAUCCUGUGGAGUGAAAAAAUUAAUUGAAAAGCAUCAGUUUUCCAGGCAGAAGUACAAGGGUGAUCCAUCAGGGGGAUAAUGUUGCCAGGUGGUAGGAGAAAUAGAGGUAAAUGCAUUGGUUGUCCCUCUGUCCCCUUGUGCCAUGGGCUCUGUGACCCCCACAGACACCUAGGCUGUAGCCGCCUAGUCCCUGCUUAAAAGGCACGACGCAUUUGCACAUUACCCUGCCCAGCCUGUGCUGAGCUUAACCAUCUCUUGGACACUGGUGACCCCUGACAGUAGAAAUGCCUCACAGUAGUUACUACACUGCACUGUCCUGAAAAUAGUGACCAGAAGAAAGGCUCCAUCUAAGUACUGACACGGCCACUGUGGGCUGAGCACACUUCCCGCUGAGCUUAGUUGCAUCCUCACCUGAGGAGCCUGCAGGUGCAGAGGGCUCACAGCAGAGCCCUCGGAGCCAGCAAGAGUGGAGGCCGUGGCCAGCACCGCUGUAGGUUAGCUUCUGGGGUCGCUCUGCAGACUGCUCCAGUUCCAGACAAGUCACACUGUAGUGUACAUGUGUCUGUCAAAGAAAAUAUCAUUUUAACUGGGAAUACAAUUGUACUUCCUGGUAAUUAUUAUCAUUGGCUAAUGUAAGAAAGUGCUUUUGUGUCCCUGACACAUAUUCUAGGAGUUUGUCAUCUUCAUUUUUUGUAAUUCCUAAUUGAAGGUGUUUUUUUCGAUCUCUAUCCCAUAGUGUUGUGGUAAAACUUAGCAUCAUUAGAGAUUGAGGCAGACAGCAUGUUUGCCUCCUGAUUGGAGUCAUCUAAAGAAUGAAAGAGUAUUCCGAUGCAUGAGCCAUUAAUAAGCAGCUUUAAUCCUGAGGCACUGCGGGAUUUGGGGUGGAAUGGGCUCCCAGCAUUUACCUUCUCACUUGGACUUUCACUGAGGGCAGAAGCAGACUUAUUAUAUUAUCUUUAUUAUUCUGUUUUCAAAAUAAAACCUCUGUUCUCUCUAAGUGAAUGGAGAGUGUCAGAUAGAUGCAAGGUGAGAAACCACCAGUGGUUCAGAGGUCCAUGUAUUAUCUACCUGAUUUAAAAAGUGUAGACAAUGUGGUUUGAAUCCCUUCUGAUUGGGAAAUUUGUUUUUGUUUAUAAUAGGAAAACUUAGAAAGUGAGUUGAACUCACUUUGUGUUUGUGCUAAAUAUGAUAAUGUGGUAUUAGACUAUGAACAAGUAAGAGAAAAUGAAGAAAUGAGGUUAAAACUAAAAGAAAAAAUGACUUGCAUGAAUUUGAGGCUCUAGAAAGAAAAACUGAAAAAGAUCAAGAGUAAGACAAAUAGAGAUGUUAAACUAAUUUGUGCAUUAGAAAGAAAUACCAUCCUCUGAAAGAGUUUUAGUUCUAAGACUGACAUAACAAAGAUUCACCCUUUUUAUAUGUGUAGAUAGGUAGAGAAUUUAAGAAACUCCAUAUUUAGCUGACAUUGUGUUUAAACAGUGGCGCCAUGUUGGCUCCCAUCAAGCUUGCUAGAAAAAGGAAUGGAAUACACGCAGGUGGGGGCUCGCGGGUCUCCUGGCUGUGCCCUGAGGAAACAGCCACUCCUUGCUGAGACUAGAAAAGCUGACACAGAUCUGGUUGACUGAUGUGUGGGUGCUCCAUGUGAGUGAAUUUCUUCUUUGUAGCAAGUGUACCUAUUGCUAAGUAGUUGAAAUAUUGUCAGAAUCACUAGAGAAACUGAUGAAUGACUGAAACCAUUAGACUGUAGGCCCUGUAAAUUGCCCUGAGAUGUCAGGAACCACACUUCGUGUGGAAGAUCUUAGCCUUCACAGACACUCUGAAGUUGUUUUGCUGGAUUUUUGAACACGUGUUCAUGCAGAACAAGAAUUGCAGCCGUUAUGGGACUCCCAAAGCGAUGUGUAACUCUCCCUAGAAUAAGGGUGUGUGUUCCUGUGUAGGAGCUCGAGCUGCCGUGGAGCUGCUUCUCCGGCGCGAGGCCCUGAGAGGCUUCAGUGCAUAUAGCUGUGUCAGUUUUAGCGCGCAGUGUCUUGGAUGAAAGCGCCAGAAUUAAGCCCAGAUUGGAGGAUAACACUGACAUUUUUGAAGCAAAUUUAAUAAAAAGCCUAUUUCUGGCCUGGGGACCAGAUCAUUUCCUUGAUUUUCCUAAGGGAUUUAUGAAAACUCACAGAUAAUUUUCAAGUGGUAAUUUAGUAACAGAGGAUGAUUAAAUAGUAAAUAUUAGAGCAAUCAAAAAAAAGUACAAAAGCAUAACGCUUGAGCAGUGAGAGAAAGACCUAUUUUGUAACUUUGUUUAAUUUUAUAAUUUUCAUAAAUUGGAAAUGUUUGGGUGUUAUAAAGUUUAAUAUUUGGUUUCCUCUGCCGAAAUUUGUGGUCUGAUGUGUGUCACAGUGUAUUAAGUGCUGAUCUGAUCACAUUUAAGUCACGUUGCUUCUCACACAUUUUGCGUCUGUAAACGGCAUGGCACUUGCACCUUACAUUUUCACCUGCACCAGACUUAAUCCUUUUCUGUUUGUGAGAAUAAAAGCAUUUGAUAAAGUGAAGAUUAUUUGUUUCUUCAUGGUAAAUGUGAUUUUUUUUUCCUACACGACAGUUAAAAGUGGGCCGAAAAUCAAGUAGAAGCCAGUUUAGAUUUUGUAACUAAUAGUUUUAAGCAACAUGUUCAUAUAUUUCUAUUUUCAGCACUGAUCUAACAUUGCAGUAUCAAAGCUAGCAAUAAUUUGAAAUCUAAAACUAAUCAAGCUAGUUAAGAAUGCAGAAAAUAUUACUUGACAAGAUAUCAUUUUUUAAAAUCCCUUACAUUCUGUUAGACUUUACUUUUGUUCUUUAAGUUGUCAUCUGUGAACUUUUCACAGUGCUAAAGAAAAUGUUUCUUGGUCAGUUAUAGUUGUUUUGAACACAAAAUUCUCUCAAAAACAUACUGCUACAGAUGCUUUGAGAGAAGGGAAACAGGAAUAGAAAUAGUUAUACCUUCAUACUUGUAGGUGGGUGAACAAUGCAGAGCAGCAAUAGGACUGUAUUUCCAAUAUUGUCUAGAGAAUAAAUCAAGGCAAUUGAUAAUUCCACACCUUGGUAGCUUGGCUGACCAGUGAUAGCUAUGAAACAUCACACACCCCUUGUCCAAACCUAAAUUCCAGCUCAUUAAAAAACCUGACAGUGUACAAACAGGUAUGGCGGCACAUGCCUAUAAUCCUAGCAGGCUGGAAAACUGAGGCAGGAGGCUAUCAGGUGCCAGUUGAACCAGGUCAAUUUAGUGAGAGUUUAUCUCAAUUAAAAGGUGGCAGUGUGGUAGAAAUGUAGCUCAUUGUUUAAUCCACAGUAGUAAAAUCUUCUGGAUGAAUCUAUUUCUGUGCUUAUGCAAAACAAAAACCUACGAAAAGUAUCUUGCAAUUUUGAUGGGCACUUUGCUCCUCUAGUUGAUUACCAAUUUGCCAAUGCUGUCAUCGUUGCUAGUAAAGCAGGUUAUAUCAUUAUUAUCGGGUCAUGCUGAGGUUCUCCCCCUGUUGCUGGUUCUGUGGUCUGGCCUGCAUUUCUUCUAGGUUCUGCGCUGUGAUACAUUGAGCACGUGGCCUCACCCCUCUACCUGUGUCGGGUGAAUCUGAAGCUUUUGCUUUAUUACCUAUCAGCUUUCCUCUGGUGUCUAUUCACAUGCUCUUUCAGAUGCAGCUGGCUCAUGAAAUCUCCAGCCUAAAGAAUUUAGUGAAGCACGCAGAAGUUUAUAACCAGGACCUCAAGGACCUGGAAAAACAGGAGGAAGCAAGAAUUGCUCACCUGCAGCUGAAAGCGCAUCAGGAAACCAUCGCUGGACUAAGGCAGCUGAGAUGUCGAACAUGCGUGUGGACCUCACGCGGCCUUGAAAGCGCUCACGCGGCCUUGAAAGUGCAGGCCCAAGAACUUGAGAAGAAAAAGCAUCAGCUUCUUCAGAUGGAAAGUAAUCUCAAGGAAACUAUGUUUCAAACAGAAGUGUUCAAGAAGCAAAUAGAAACCCAGAAUGUGGCUCUGGAGAACGUGGAGAAGGAGCGAUUCAGGGACGCGUGGCGGGAGGGGGGUCAGCUUAUGACGCUGAGCUAAAUCCCCAGCCCCACUGUAUGCAGUCUUUAAAAAAAUACUAUUUCCGUAACUUAAUAAAACAAGUAGAAAAGAGUAUCAUUUACAGUCUCAUCAAAACACUGCUUGACAGUCAUCCUUAUGUGGGCCCUAACUAAACUGAUACAGAGAUUUAAUUCCAGAAGUGGUUACUGAAGGUUUAGGCAUUCCUCCAUGUAGCAGGAGGAUCGGUGACGCCAGGAGGAGAAAGUGGGUUUUUCCUUCUGUACUUGUUAAUGAGAAAUGCAGGCUAUGAAGCGGAUGUUUUCCAUUGCCCAGUGCCAGGACGGCCGUGUCACCAGGCUCGGGUCCUGAGCAGUGCAGGUGGUUUUGCUAGUGUUUUUACCUGGUGGGAAUAACUGUA